UGGUGAAGUGUUGGCUUAAUGCUGCUUCCGUGUGUCUGCAAACCUGAUUAAUACUAAUCUAUAUUAUAUACCUUAAUUGUAUUGGAUUGCUCAAAGGAGGGGACAGGCAGAUGCCAAAUUAUGCCUGUGAAGUUAGUAUCUCAUUUCAAGGUUUCUGCUCGAGAAACAGGGAUCUUUCUGUGUGCAGGAGAACAGUGUGAGGUUAUAGUGGAGCACGAGCAAAAUCUCAUUAGCUCCACAAGCGGAGAGGGAAGGAAGACUAAAUAUUAUUAGAUUAAUCUAAUGACAAACAGCAGCAUUUUCAUUUGUGGUAUAAACAGAAUUCAAUAAGAAAUACAACAGGAAAAGCAGCAUAGAACCUUCAGUCAUGAAUAGUCCACUCAGUUCACGUCUGUAUUAAAUAGCACAAUUAUUUCCAAAGAGAAAUCACUGUAUGUUGAUGAUGAUGUGGAAAAAGCUUGCUGACAGUGGAAGAUAUCAGCUGAGAUGUUCUGAUGUUUUACAAAAGUACAAGAAAGAUUAUUUUCUUCAUUACCAGUAGGAGCUAUUUCUGGUUCCCACUCAGGUAAAUACAGACCCGUGUCAUGUCUAUGAUUUUCUUACAAAGUAAAUAAGAACAUUUAUAUAAACUACUAACUUCUACCUUAAGUUUAUUUUGAUUUUGAUUUUUAAAAAAAUCUGAAAUGUGUUUGAUGCUCACAGGUGAAUGCAUAAAAACUGAGCUUUGUACAACAGCUCACCUGUCACCUGGUGUGUUGGUAAGGUUAACACACGCAGACACACACAAACUCACACACCAACACACCAACACACACAGGCCCACUGCUCUGCUUUGGACUGCGAGCCAAGUUUGAGACAAAGUCCAUAGCCCUCCACUGGGUUAUCAAACUGUGGCCAAGGCAUGCAUCCAUCUGUGGAAAACAUGGAGACUGUUCUCCCACACUGCACAGCUCAGCCUUUAUCUACAGAUGGUACUACUGAGCAGGAAUGUGACCUUUGAUUUAGUUUCUCACACGGAAAAGGGCUUACCAAUGAAAAGUGGGAGAGGAUUUUUCUUGCCUCCCAAACUGGACAAAUGAGCACAUGGUUGUUUGCAUGGCAAAGAUUUGUUUAACGCAAUUUAAAAAUUUAGAUAAGUGUCCAGUGUAAGUGUCUUCAUGUGAGGCCCAUUUGAGUGGAUGUGCGAGGGAGGGGUGGAUUCCUACCAUUAAUACAAAUGCAUCAGCUACUCCAUGUGGUGUGCGAGGAUGUGUGCAGCUGCGGAAAAGCACAAAGUGCUCACCGGCAGAGGCAGUCAGAAAAACAGGAUUUCACUUAAAAUACGAUCAACUGCGUAGAUUAUCAGCCGCCUCCGAUACGCAGCUCCGCGGCCGAGUGAAUGGUGUGAUUGUGCGGUGAUGUUGUGAAGUGUACCGGGUUGGUUACUUCAGCUCUGCUUCACUUCUGAACCUUGACCACAUAGCUAGCAGGCAGAGGGGGAUUUGUUCAUAUCUGCAAAGAUGCUGGCCGAGUGAGCUGGGACAACAGUGGCUUGUUCUCGCCUUUUGUACAGCGGGGCAGCUUCCUUGAGAGCAGCCAGCAGUACUAAAUGGAAAAUCAGCAUGGGAGCACUGGUGCAACAUUAUGCACAAUGUACAUUCCAAUUACACCAUGCUGUUCGCAUUAACAUACAUCAGCAGAACGCAGACUUUUGUGAUAUAACAGCCCGAGGAGUGACCCAAGUGCAGGGCGGUGAAUAACCCCAUAACUCUGAGCGCGGGGUGUCGUGUUUGCAGAAAAGUCUCGUUUAAAAAAGACAGCUUCCAGAGUCACAGCAAAAACAAAUUUGUGGUCACUGUUAUGUAAGGAAUGUGUCCAUGUAUUUUUUAUGCAGGUGAGCCCCUGCUCUGCUCUGAGGGCCCCUGAUGGAGGAGUGACUGCAUGAGUCUACUGGAUGCCAGAACACUCUUCUGCAGCUCUGCCAAGCAGCAGAUGAAUGUGGCUGUUAAGCCAUGGAGAUGUCACCUUUCAGCAGGAAGCCCAGGAUGAGACGCUGAGCGAGGACUUUGUUCCACCUGGAUGCAUGGCAGAGUGCUGAGUGCAGGGCUGCUGACCCAGGCACCGCUUCAUUUCAACCUCAGCAGCCGCCCUGAGACUUGGUCUUUGCCCCAGCCACAGACACAGUACCUCUACAAAAGCCAGCUUCUGCUCACACUACUAAAGGUCACUGCCUACAGUGUAGAUACCACCAACGAGCCAGGAGUGAUUCCUCUCCAGCCCCCCUAUUUGGAUCCCACCCAGAGCCAGGUGUUAUACUGAUAAUUGGCCCACACUGUGGAUUUUUGUUUUGCACUUGACUGAACCGCUACCCUCGCAUUAACGGACAGAAACAUGGUCACAGUACCAGU